UACGUAGGGGGCAAGCGUUGUCCGGAUUUAUUGGGCGUAAAGAGCGUGUAGGCGGCCUGACAGGUCUGCUGUGAAAACUCGAGGCUCAACCUCGAGAUGUCGGCGGAAACCGUCUGGCUAGAGUCCGGAAGAGGAGAGUGGAAUUCCUGGUGUAGCGGUGAAAUGCGCAGAUAUCAGGAAGAACACCUAUGGCGAAGGCAGCUCUCUGGACGUACUGACGCUGAGACGACGAAGCGUGGAGCAACAG
rnacentral:rRNA from 1 species